UCGGCGGGCGCGGAGGAAAAGCCUGCGUCUCUGCUGGCAGAGGCGGCUUCUUUUGUGUGUGUAGGUUAGGCCUGGGGUUUGGGGGGCACAUCCCAGCUCUUUCCAGAGACGGUGUUUUCACGUUGCCUCUGGCACACUCAAACGUUUUGUACUAUUUUCAUUUCUCAGUUUUUCUCACGGUUCUCACCGCCAAGCCUUCUAGAGAGGUGGAAGUUUUAUGUCCGUGAUUAAAUUCGGAGUGUAACCCAGCAUUCUGUGAGGGCCUUGAGAGCGAAAACAAUGUUCUUAUCCCCGCAUCCUCAGAGACCCACAGUUUCAUCUGCCUAGUAAACGCUGGAUUCCCGUGGCUUGUUAUCUUGGGCAAUUUGCAAGCUACUUAGGUUAUUUGCAUGCCAUUUAUGUUUGCUUCUCUACCUCCCGUCACCUUCUCCUUUCAUCUCCUCUUUCCCCGUCCGUUGCCCUUCAGUUUUACCCCCUUAGAUCGCAGUUGGUUUUUCUCUGAAUACUUCAAACGCCUCCAACUUGAAUGCAGCCAUCCUAGAGCCCACCCGGCACGAUGGAGGCAUCUUGAGGCAAGGGGCUUCUCUCUUAGAACCAUCGAAUGUCUGAGCGAGAAGGGACCUGGAAGAGGCGUCAUUAGCUCCAAACAUCUAUUUUUCAAAUGAGGGAACUGAGGCCAAAUAGAAGAGUGUUGGCUAAAAUACGGAAAUCGCUCACACAAUGAUAAGCCAAAGAAGAUCCACCUGUCCUUGGUAUGUUGGAAGAAGCUUCGUUGGAGUCUUACAGACCAGUGUGGUGAUGUGGAUACCAAUUACUACUCCGUCAGUUUACCAGCUAGAUGGCCCCAGUCGAGUUACCCAGCCUCUCUCUCGUGUUCAAUUUUAGAAACUUCAGACUUGUAAUAAAAUAUACAUCACCAA